rnacentral:lncRNA from 1 species
AGAUCACGCAUCUCACGGCUUGACGAUCAAGGGGGCAAAGCCUCGGUCUUCAUAGAAAAGGAGAGGAGGCAAACGCAGCCCAAACUGGGGGGUUUCUCUUCAAAGCCAGCUGGUCUGGCUUUAUUCUACAGGAAUUUUUUUACCUGUCAGGGUUUGGACAACAAAGCCCUCAGCAGGUGCUGACGGGUACAACUUCCUGGAGAAGCAGAAAGGCACUGAGAAAACAUCUUGCUCUGUUGCUCAGGCUGGAGCGCAAUGGUGCCAUCGUAGCUUACUGUAACCUUGAACGUCUGUGCUCAAGCAAUCUUCCUGCCUCAGCCUCCUGAGUAGCUGGGACUACAGUAGAGAUGUGGUUUCACUGGGUUAGCCAGGAUAGUCUCGAUCUCCUGACCUUGUGGUCCGCCUGCCUCGGCCUUCCAAAGUGCUGGAAUUACAGGUGUGAGCCACCGCGCCCGGCCAAGGGUCGAUGUUGCACAGGUGAAUACAGAGGCUUUCUAAAGAAAUUGAUGAGAGAUGGAGUUUUGCUCUUGUUGCCCAAGCUGGAGUGCAAUGGCGUGAUCUCAGCUUACUGCAACCUCUGCCUCCUGGGUUCAAGCAAUUCUCCUGCCUCAGUUUCCCGAGUAGCUGGGAUUACAGGUGUGUGCUACCAUGCCUGGCUAAUUUUUUGUAUUUUUAGUAGAAACAGGGUUUCACCAUGUUGGCCAGGCUGGUCUCGAACUCCUGACCUCGUGAUCCAUCCGCCUUGGCCUCCCAAGGUGCUGGGAUUACAGGCAUGCGCCCCGCCUGAGCUAAGAUUUUCAAAUAACUUUCUUUCCUCUUGAGAAUGGUUUGCUUUGGUCAAGUUCCUAGGUGUGGGAUUGUUGGAUCAAAGAGUAUGAGCAUUGUUGAGUCUCUUGAUACCCUUUGGCAAAAUGCUUUGCAAAGGGCUUGUUUCCAGCAGUCCUCAUGUACAUUGUUUCAGUGAGCUUCUUUAUUUCUUUCCUACUGCAACUCUCUAACAAGGAACAUUACGAGAAAAAGGUUUCCCAGCUCAUUUACAAUGGAUAAAUGAAUUUUUUUUUUUUUUUAGAUGAAGUCUCGCUCUGUCGCCCAGGCUGGAGUGCAGUGGCACAAUCUCUGCUCACUGCAAGCUCUGCCUCCUGGGUUCACGCCAUUCUCCUGCCUCAGCCUCCCAAGUAGCUGGGACUACAGGCGCCCACCACCAUGCCCAGCUAAUUUUUUGUAUUUUUUUUUUUUAGUAGAGACGAGGUUUCACUGUGUUAGCCAGGAUGGUCUUGAUCUCCUGACCUUGUGAUCCACCCGCCUCGGCCUCCCAAAGUGCUGGGAUUACAGGCGUGAGCCACCGCACCCGGCUACAAUGGAUAAAUGAUUUCUUAUUGUACUUUUAAUUUGCAUUUCUUUGAUUACUGUGAGGUUGAACCAUUUAAAAAUAAGCAUUGCCUUUUGUGUGAAUUGUGUUUCUUCUUUUGAGGAACAUUCCUCCUGCAUUCUUUGGCUCCCCUCCCCGCCCCAGACAUACAUUAGACUUUCCAAAGACUUGGAAAUUAACACUUCGUGGGUCAUAUUUACAGCAAUUAUUUACUCUGGUAAUUUCCUUUUCAUUUUAAUUGUACUAUUUUCAGGACUUUUAUGUGUUUUCAAAUGAAGAUCUUCUCAUCUGUGAUUGCUUCAAAGCUUGGAAAAUAAUAAUAACAUCAACGAAGUGAAAAUUACCCAAUUUUAUUUUUUCCUUCUAUUAUAUAUUUGUAUUAAGCUCUUUCAUCAACAUGGAAAAAAAUGACAGUAUUUAUGAUAGUCACACACACACACACGGAAUGUGAGAGGGGGAGGGUAUUUGUGAAAAGACCACAAAUUAGAUUGGGCAAAAUGGCUCAUACCUAUAAUCCUAGUACUUUGGGAGGACGAGGAAGGACGAUUUCUGAAAGCCAGGAGUUUGAGACCAGCUUGGGCAACAUAGUGAGACCUCAUCUCUAUAAAAAAUACAAAAAUUAGCUGGACAUGGUGGUGUGUACUUGUAGUCCCAGCUACUUAGGAGGCUGUGGCAGGAGGAUUGCUUGACCUGAG